rnacentral:lncRNA from 1 species
UUUCUUGUGUUAGGUAGAUUUUCUUUAUUUUUGUUUAUUUCUUACUAUGGCAUCAUGGAAUGAAUGUGGUCUGAUGGUUGAAAAUCUUAUCUGGAUGAUCCAUGUCCAUAUUGUGAUGGACUCCACUUUUGGUAAGAUUGUAGAUAUGCUCCCCGGAGAGAGAUGUGUGCACCAUCUCCACCCUACCGGGAGUAUAAUUAUUCUUUAUAUAGUGGUCA